rnacentral:tRNA from 2 species
GUGCUUGUAGCUCAGUUGAAUAGAGCGUCGCCCUCCGAAGGCGAAGGUCGUGGGUUUGAAUCCCAUCAAGCACA